UGAGGAAUAUUGGUCGAUGGGCGCGAGCCUGAACCAGCCAAGUAGCGUGAAGGAUGAAGGUCCUAUGGAUUGUAAACUUCUUUUAUAGCAGGAUAAAGUGACCCACGUGUGGGUUUUUGUAUGUAUGCUAUGAAUAAGGAUCGGCUAACUCCGUGCCAGCAGCCGCGGUAAUACGGAGGAUCCGAGCGUUAUCCGGAUUUAUUGGGUUUAAAGGGUGCGUAGGCGGAAAGAUAAGUCAGCCUGUGAAAGUUUGCGGCUCAACCGUAAAAUUGCAGUUGAUACUGUUUUUCUUGAGUGUACAUAAGGUAGGCGGAAUUCGUGGUGUAGCGGUGAAAUGCUUAGAUAUCACGAAGAACUCCGAUUGCGAAGGCAGCUUACCGGGGUACAACUGACGCUGAUGCACGAAAGUGUGGGUAUCAAACA
rnacentral:rRNA from 1 species